GCCCAGGUGGCGGAACUGGUAGACGCGCAGGCUUGAGGGGCCUGUGUCUUUCGAGAUAUGCGGGUUCGACUCCCGCCCUGGGCACCA
rnacentral:tRNA from 1 species